AGAGUUUGAUCCUGGCUCAGAACGAACGUUGGCGGCGUGGAUUAGGCAUGCAAGUCGUGGGAAUCCCCAGCAAUGGGGGGAACCGGCGUAAGGGGCAGUAAGGCAUGGGUGACCUACCCGGCGGUUGGGCAUAGCCCGUAGAAAUACGGGGUAAUUCCCAGCGAUGUCGUAAGACCAAAGCUCCGGCGCCACCGGAGGGGCCCAUGUAGUAUUAGCUAGUUGGUGGGGUAACGGCCCACCAAGGCGAAGAUGCUUAGCGGGUGUGAGAGCACGACCCGCGCCACUGGCACUGAGACACUGGCCAGACACCUACGGGUGGCUGCAGUCGAGGAUCUUCGGCAAUGGGCGCAAGCCUGACCGAGCGACGCCGCGUGUGCGAUGAAGGCCUUCGGGUUGUAAAGCACUGUCGAGGGGGAGAAAAGCCGCAAGGCUUGAUCUAUCCCUGGAGGAAGCACGGGCUAAGUUCGUGCCAGCAGCCGCGGUAAGACGAACCGUGCGAACGUUGUUCGGAAUCACUGGGCUUAAAGGGCGCGUAGGCGGGCUGCAAAGUCCGGGGUGAAAUCCUCCAGCUCAACUGGAGAACGGCCUCGGAUACUUGCGGUCUCGAGGGAGGUAGGGGCGUGCGGAACUAUGGGUGGAGC
rnacentral:rRNA from 1 species